AUCUUGCGCAAUGGGCGAAAGCCUGACGCAGCGACGCCGCGUGGAGGACGAAGGUCUUCGGAUCGUAAACUCCUGUCAAGUGGGACGAAAUCUGCAGGGAUGAAUAAGCCCUGUGGUUGACGGUACCGCUGAAGGAAGCCCCGGAUAACUCCGUGCCAGCAGCCGCGGUAAUACGGAGGGGGCCAGCGUUGUUCGGAAUCAUUGGGCGUAAAGGGCGCGUAGGCUGCUCAGUAAGUCAGUUGUGAAAUCCCUCGGCUCAACCGAGGAACUGCGUCUGAUACUGCUGGGCUUGAGUCCCGGAGAGGGUAGCGGAAUUCCCAGUGUAGCGGUGAAAUGCGUAGAUAUUGGGAGGAACACCAGUGGCGAAGGCGGCUACCUGGACGGGUACUGACGCUGAUGCGCGAAAGCGUGGGGAGCAAAC
rnacentral:rRNA from 1 species